UCAAUAAUCUCUUAUAAUUCUGUAAAGGCUUGUUCAGUGUAGUAAGCUUGUUAAUAUAUUUUUCCUUUCAGAAUGCCUACACACACUGACAGGGAGCCAGGAUUUUCACCCUGUGAAGAGGGUUGCCAAAUGCAAAGUUGUUAAGGGCCAAAAAAUGAAGCAGGUCGAGUGGGAGCCAUGCAAACUCUGUGGAAAGAAGUGGCCAUUGGAGUGGGUGGCGGAUGACAACACUUGUUAGUGCUUCCAUUGUAGGUGCCAUUGGUGUGUGGAGAUCUGCUAUGAGUCGUCGAGUUUGCCGUUAGGCGCAGCGAUCAGGGUUGGGGAUGUGACAAUUUUAGACGAGUGAGGGAGGAGCCAUCAACGCUACUUACACUCUACAUUACGUUACACACUUUUACUGGCAAUCACAUCAAAGCCACGCCCUAAAACACCCCCUGCUUUAUCGCUGAUUUAAAA